UGGGGAAUUUUGGACAAUGGGCGAAAGCCUGAUCCAGCAAUGCCGCGUGUGUGAAGAAGGCCUUCGGGUUGUAAAGCACUUUUGUCCGGAAAGAAAUCCUUGGCUCUAAUACAGUCGGGGGAUGACGGUACCGGAAGAAUAAGCACCGGCUAACUACGUGCCAGCAGCCGCGGUAAUACGUAGGGUGCAAGCGUUAAUCGGAAUUACUGGGCGUAAAGCGUGCGCAGGCGGUUUGCUAAGACCGAUGUGAAAUCCCCGGGCUCAACCUGGGAACUGCAUUGGUGACUGGCAGGCUAGAGUAUGGCAGAGGGGGGUAGAAUUCCACGUGUAGCAGUGAAAUGCGUAGAGAUGUGGAGGAAUACCGAUGGCGAAGGCAGCCCCCUGGGCCAAUACUGACGCUCAUGCACGAAAGCGUGGGGAGCAAACAGGAUUAGAUACCCUGGUAGUCCACGCCCUAAACGAUGUCAACUAGUUGUUGGGGAUUCAUUCCUUAGUAACGUAGCUAACGCGUGAAGUUGACCGCCUGGGGAGUACGGUCGCAAGAUUAAAACUUAAAUGAAUUGACGGGUCAUAGCUG
rnacentral:rRNA from 1 species